UACGUAGGGUGCAAGCGUUGUCCGGAAUUAUUGGGCGUAAAGAGCUCGUAGGCGGUGUGUCACGUCGGCCGUGAAAACCUGCAGCUUAACUGUGGGCGUGCGGUCGAUACGGGCAUCACUGGAGUUCGGCAGGGGAGACUGGAAUUCCGGGUGUAGCGGUGAAAUGCGUAGAUAUCCGGAGGAACACCGAUGGCGAAGGCAGCUCUCUGGCCUGACACUGACGCUGAGUGAGCGAAAGCCAGGGGAGCAAACGGG
rnacentral:rRNA from 1 species